rnacentral:rRNA from 1 species
UUUACGGAGAGUUUGAUCCUGGCUCAGGACGAACGCUGGCGGCGUGCUUAACACAUGCAAGUCGAACGAUGAAGCUGGAGCUUGCUCCGGCGGAUUAGUGGCGAACGGGUGAGUAACACGUGAGCAAUCUGCCCUUGACUCUGGGAUAACUGCGGGAAACUGUAGCUAAUACCGGAUACUUUCCUUGGUGGGCAUCCACUGAGGAAGAAAGAAUUUCGGUCAAGGAUGAGCUCGCGACCUAUCAGCUAGUUGGUGAGGUAAAGGCUCACCAAGGCGACGACGGGUAGCCGGCCUGAGAGGGUGACCGGCCACACUGGGACUGAGACACGGCCCAGACUCCUACGGGAGGCAGCAGUGGGGAAUAUUGCACAAUGGACGAAAGUCUGAUGCAGCAACGCCGCGUGAGGGACGAAGGCCUUCGGGUUGUAAACCUCUUUUAGCAGGGAAGAAGCGAAAGUGACGGUACCUGCAGAAAAAGCACCGGCUAACUACGUGCCAGCAGCCGCGGUAAUACGUAGGGUGCAAGCGUUGUCCGGAUUUAUUGGGCGUAAAGAGCUCGUAGGCGGUUUGGUAAGUCGGGUGUGAAAACUCAGGGCUCAACCCUGAGACGCCACUCGAUACUGCCAUGACUAGAGUCCGGUAGAGGAGUGUGGAAUUCCUAGUGUAGCGGUGAAAUGCGCAGAUAUUAGGAGGAACACCAACAGCGAAGGCAGCACUCUGGGCCGGUACUGACGCUGAGGAGCGAAAGCGUGGGGAGCGAACAGGAUUAGAUACCCUGGUAGUCCACGCCGUAAAC